rnacentral:rRNA from 1 species
UAACACUAACUGGAGGACCGAACCGACUAAUGUUGAAAAAUUAGCGGAUGACCUGUGGCUGGGGGUGAAAGGCCAAUCAAACCGGGAGAUAGCUGGUUCUCCCCGAAAGCUAUUUAGGUAGCGCCUCGUGAAUUCAUCUCCGGGGGUAGAGCACUGUUUCGGCUAGGGGGCCAUCCCGGCUUACCAACCCGAUGCAAACUGCGAAUACCGGAGAAUGUUAUCACGGGAGACACACGGCGGGUGCUAACGUCCGUCGUGAAGAGGGAAACAACCCAGACCGCCAGCUAAGGUCCCAAAGUCAUGGUUAAGUGGGAAACGAUGUGGGAAGGCCCAGACAGCCAGGAUGUUGGCUUAGAAGCAGCCAUCAUUUAAAGAAAGCGUAAUAGCUCACUGGUCGAGUCGGCCUGCGCGGAAGAUGUAACGGGGCUAAACCAUGCACCGAAGCUGCGGCAGCGACACUGUGUGUUGUUGGGUAGGGGAGCGUUCUGUAAGCCUGUGAAGGUGUGUCGUGAGGCAUGCUGGAGGUAUCAGAAGUGCGAAUGCUGACAUAAGUAACGAUAAAGCGGGUGAAAAGCCCGCUCGCCGGAAGACCAAGGGUUCCUGUCCAACGUUAAUCGGGGCAGGGUGAGUCGACCCCUAAGGCGAGGCCGAAAGGCGUAGUCGAUGGGAAACGGGUUAAUAUUCCCGUACUUGGUGUUACUGCGAAGGGGGGACGGAGAAGGCUAUGUUGGCCGGGCGACGGUUGUCCCGGUUUAAGCGUGUAGGUGUGUGUUCCAGGUAAAUCCGGUUCACUUUAACACUGAGGCGUGACGACGAGGCACUACGGUGCUGAAGCAACAAAUGCCCUGCUUCCAGGAAAAGCCUCUAAGCAUCAGGUAACAUCAAAUCGUACCCCAAACCGACACAGGUGGUCAGGUAGAGAAUACCAAGGCGCUUGAGAGAACUCGGGUGAAGGAACUAGGCAAAAUGGUGCCGUAACUUCGGGAGAAGGCACGCUGACACGUAGGUGAAGUGAUUUACUCAUGGAGCUGAAGUCAGUCGAAGAUACCAGCUGGCUGCAACUGUUUAUUAAAAACACAGCACUGUGCAAACACGAAAGUGGACGUAUACGGUGUGACGCCUGCCCGGUGCCGGAAGGUUAAUUGAUGGGGUCAGCGCAAGCGAAGCUCCUGAUCGAAGCCCCGGUAAACGGCGGCCGUAACUAUAACGGUCCUAAGGUAGCGAAAUUCCUUGUCGGGUAAGUUCCGACCUGCACGAAUGGCGUAAUGAUGGCCAGGCUGUCUCCACCCGAGACUCAGUGAAAUUGAACUCGCUGUGAAGAUGCAGUGUACCCGCGGCAAGACGGAAAGACCCCGUGAACCUUUACUAUAGCUUGACACUGAACAUUGAGCCUUGAUGUGUAGGAUAGGUGGGAGGCUUUGAAGUGUGGACGCCAGUCUGCAUGGAGCCGACCUUGAAAUACCACCCUUUAAUGUUUGAUGUUCUAACGUGGACCCGUUACCCGGGUUGCGGACAGUGUCUGGUGGGUAGUUUGACUGGGGCGGUCUCCUCCUAAAGAGUAACGGAGGAGCACGAAGGUUGGCUAAUCCUGGUCGGACAUCAGGAGGUUAGUGCAAUGGCAUAAGCCAGCUUGACUGCGAGCGUGACGGCGCGAGCAGGUGCGAAAGCAGGUCAUAGUGAUCCGGUGGUUCUGAAUGGAAGGGCCAUCGCUCAACGGAUAAAAGGUACUCCGGGGAUAACAGGCUGAUACCGCCCAAGAGUUCAUAUCGACGGCGGUGUUUGGCACCUCGAUGUCGGCUCAUCACAUCCUGGGGCUGAAGUAGGUCCCAAGGGUAUGGCUGUUCGCCAUUUAAAGUGGUACGCGAGCUGGGUUUAGAACGUCGUGAGACAGUUCGGUCCCUAUCUGCCGUGGGCGCUGGAGAACUGAGGGGGGCUGCUCCUAGUACGAGAGGACCGGAGUGGACGCAUCACUGGUGUUCGGGUUGUCAUGCCAAUGGCACUGCCCGGUAGCUAAAUGCGGAAGAGAUAAGUGCUGAAAGCAUCUAAGCACGAAACUUGCCCCGAGAUGAGUUCUCCCUGAGACUUA